UGAGGAAUAUUGCGCAAUGGGGGCAACCCUGACGCAGCAACGCCGCGUGGGUGAAGAAGGCUUUCGGGUCGUAAAACCCUUUUCUGUGUGACGCGGUAGCACAGGAAUAAGUGUCGGCUAACUACGUGCCAGCAGCCGCGGUAAUACGUAGGACGCGAGCAUUAUCCGGAAUUACUGGGCGUAAAGAGCACGCAGGCGGUUCGGUAAGUCAGGUAUGAAAGCUCCAGGCUAAACUUGGAGAGGCUACUUGAUACUGCUGGACUUGAGUGGGGAAGAGGGGCGUAGAAUUCCGCGUGUAGUGGUAAAAUGCGUAGAUAUGCGGAGGAAUACCAGAGGCGAAGGCGACGCUCUGGUCCCCAACUGACGCUGAGGUGCGAAAGCAUGGGGAGUGAACGGGAUUAGAUACCCUUGUAGU
rnacentral:rRNA from 1 species